AAACUGCUUUGAGCAUAUGUCAUGCAUCAUAAGAUUAUAGUAGGAUGAUUGCAUUAGUUUCACGAAUAUGAUGCAUUGCAUAAUACGAUGUGUAUGAGGCUGUGGAUAGACCAAGGCGACUCCAAUAGCCCAAGCUCUGUUAUAAGAUCUGGCCGGGCCAGGCAGCCAUCUGUAGGUAAGACCUGACUAGAUCAGGCAGCAGAGAUAGUAAGACCUGGCCGGGCCAGGCAGACUGAGGGUGUAAGACCUGGCUAGGCCAGGCAUCCUUAUAGUGGGAUUUUUGGCGGUCAUGUCUAUCCCUGAGAUGAUGUGCUGUAGUGCAUCCCAUGAGAUCAUGUUUUUCAAAUAUGGUUUAUAGUUCUGC
rnacentral:lncRNA from 1 species